CCCUUAGAUGUCCGGGGCCGCACGCGCGCUACACUGAAGGAAUCAGCGUGGCUUUCUCCCUGACCCGAAAGGGUUGGGAAACCCGUCGAAUCUCCUUCGUGAUAGGGAUUGGGGCUUGAAAUUGUUCCCCAUGAACGAGGAAUUCCCAGUAAGCGCGAGUCAUAAGCUCGCGUUGAUUACGUCCCUGCCCUUUGUACACACCGCCCGUCGCUACUACCGAUUGAACGGUUUAGUGAGGGCCUCGGAUUGGUCUCGGCCCGCUCUUUACCGGGCGGCGCCGUUGGUCGAGAAGACGCUCGAACUUGAUCGUUUAGAGGAAGUAAAAGUCGUAACA
rnacentral:rRNA from 1 species